rnacentral:rRNA from 1 species
AGCGAACGCUGGCGGCAGGCCUAACACAUGCCAGUCGAACGAACUCUUCGGAGUUAGUGGCGGACGGGUGAGUAACACGUGGGAACGUGCCUUUUGGUUCGGAAUAACUCAGGGAAACUUGUGCUAAUACCGAAUGUGCCCUUCGGGGGAAAGAUUUAUCGCCAUUAGAGCGGCCCGCGUCUGAUUAGCUAGUUGGUGAGGUAACGGCUCACCAAGGCGACGAUCAGUAGCUGGUCUGAGAGGAUGACCAGCCACACUGGGACUGAGACACGGCCCAGACUCCGACGGGAGGCAGCAGUGGGGAAUCUUGCGCAAUGGGCGAAAGCCUGACGCAGCCAUGCCGCGUGAAUGAUGGAGGUCUUAGGAUUGUAAAAUUCUUUCACCGGGGACGAUAAUGACGGUACCCGGAGAAGAAGCCCCGGCUAACUUCGUG